GUGCCAGCAGCCGCGGUAAUACGGAGGGUGCAAGCGUUAAUCGGAAUUACUGGGCGUAAAGCGCGCGUAGGUGGCUUGAUAAGCCGGUUGUGAAAGCCCCGGGCUCAACCUGGGAACGGCAUCCGGAACUGUCAGGCUAGAGUGCAGGAGAGGAAGGUAGAAUUCCCGGUGUAGCGGUGAAAUACGUAGAGAUCGGGAGGAAUACCAGUGGCGAAGGCGGCCUUCUGGACUGACACUGACACUGAGGUGCGAAAGCGUGGGUAGCAAACAGGGUUAGAAACCCUGUAGCC
rnacentral:rRNA from 1 species